UACGUAGGUGGCGAGCGUUGUCCGGAUUUACUGGGCGUAAAGGGCAUGCAGGCGGUCGGGCGCGUUUUGGGUGACAGCGGGUGGCUUAACUACCCGAGUGGUCGAAAGACGGUUUGACUUGAGGACGCGAGAGGGACACGGAAUUCCGGGUGGAGUGGUGAAAUGCGUAGAGAUCCGGAGGAACACCGAAGGCGAAGGCAGUGUCCUGGCGCGUAACUGACGCUGAGGUGCGAAAGCCAGGGGAGCGAACGGG
rnacentral:rRNA from 1 species